rnacentral:rRNA from 1 species
CGAAAGCCUGACGGAGCAAUACCGCGUGAGGGAGGAAGGCUCUUGGGUUGUAAACCUCUUUUCUCAGGGAAGAACAAUGACGGUACCUGAGGAAUCAGCAUCGGCUAACUCCGUGCCAGCAGCCGCGGUAAUACGGAGGAUGCAAGCGUUAUCCGGAAUUAUUGGGCGUAAAGCGUCUGUAGGUGGACAUUCAAGUCUGCUGUCAAAGACCGGGGCUUAACCCUGGAAAGGCAGUGGAAACUGAAGCGCUAGAGUGUGGCAGGGGUAGAGGGAAUUCCCGGUGUAGCGGUGAAAUGCGUAGAGAUCGGGAAGAACAUCGGUGGCGAAAGCGCUCUACUGGGCCACAACUGACACUCAGGGACGAAAGCUAGGGGAGCG